rnacentral:rRNA from 1 species
CCCUUAGAUGUUCUGGGCCGCACGCGCGCUACACUGAUGCAUUCAACGAGUCUAAAACCUGGUCUGAUAGGGCUGGGUAAUCUUUUGAAAGUGCAUCGUGAUUGGGAUAGAUGAUUGCAAUUCUUCAUCUUCAACGAGGAAUGCCUAGUAAACGCAAGUCAUCAGCUUGCAUUGAUUACGUCCCUGCCCUUUGUACACACCGCCCGUCGCUCCUACCGAUUGAAUGAUCCGAUGAAUACCAUGGAUUGAGAGUUCGAAUAGGUUCGCCUAUUUCAGCUUCUCGAGGAGUGGAGUAAAUCUUAUCAUUUAGAGGAAGGAGAAGUCGUAACA